AGGUUUGCACAGUGGUAGUAUCGUAGCCAAUGAGUUUUAUCCGAGGUGCGAUUAUUGCUGUUUGAAAACUUUUCCCAAAACCCCGCCAUGACGACUUGAGAUAUGGUCAGCAUUGGCAAUUUUUGACAAUCUCUAUAGAGA
rnacentral:snRNA from 1 species